UGUCUCCUCUAUUCUCUUUCCGAAAAUAGAUUCAGCCCGCUCCUUGUAGCGGGCUUUUUUUU
rnacentral:ncRNA from 1 species